UGUACCCCCGGCGCUUGCAUGACAUCAGCUCCAGCGCAGAAGAGGGCUCAGCCUGCCCGCAGGUAUGAAAACGAGCAAGACCUCGGACACUGCGCAUGUGUUAUUUCAGGAGACCAUCUGAGUGCCCACCCCAUGACUGACUCCAUAAGCAUGAGAUGACUUCAUCCUCAAAUCCUGAAGGUAAGUUCUCUUAGCAAUCGCCA
rnacentral:lncRNA from 1 species